rnacentral:lncRNA from 1 species
UGCUUCAUGGUGUUCUGGGAAAAACCCUUCAACUUGGCUAUACUCUUCAGUGUGGCUGUGUGGCUGACUGUGCUUUUGAACACACUGGUGGUGUUGUCAUGUGUUCUGGACCAUCCACGGAGCCUACAGUUCAAUAUUCAGGUACUGGCUGGGCAGAGUGGCUCACUUCAGAUACUGUCUUUGUAGAAAAUCUUAGUGAAUAUUUUUAUGGCAUCCAGAGAUAA